rnacentral:rRNA from 1 species
AUUGAACGCUGGCGGCAUGCUUUACACAUGCAAGUCGAACGGCAGCGCGGGCUUCGGCCUGGCGGCGAGUGGCGAACGGGUGAGUAAUGCAUCGGAACGUGCCCAGUAGUGGGGGAUAGCCCGGCGAAAGCCGGAUUAAUACCGCAUACGACCUGAGGGUGAAAGCGGGGGGCCGAAAGGCCUCGCGCUAUUGGAGCGGCCGAUGUCGGAUUAGCUAGUUGGUGGGGUAAAGGCUUACCAAGGCGACGAUCCGUAGCUGGUCUGAGAGGACGACCAGCCACACUGGGACUGAGACACGGCCCAGACUCCUACGGGGGCAGCAGUGGGGAAUUUUGGACAAUGGGGGCAACCCUGAUCCAGCCAUGCCGCGUGCGGGAAGAAGGCCUUCGGGUUGUAAACCGCUUUUGUUCGGGAAGAAAUCCUCUGGGCUAAUACCCCGGGGGAUGACGGUACCGGAAGAAUAAGCACCGGCUAACUACGUG